AGGGAAUCUUCCACAAUGGACGAAAGUCUGAUGGAGCAACGCCGCGUGAGCGAAGAAGGUUUUCGGAUCGUAAAGCUCUGUUGCUGGAGAAGAACGAGUGCGAGAGGAAAUGCUCGUACUGUGACGGUAUCCAGCCAGAAAGCCACGGCUAACUACGUGCCAGCAGCCGCGGUAAUACGUAGGUGGCAAGCGUUGUCCGGAAUUAUUGGGCGUAAAGCGCGCGCAGGCGGCUUCUUAAGUCUGAUGUGAAAUCUUGCGGCUCAACCGCAAACGGUCAUUGGAAACUGGGAAGCUUGAGUGCAGAAGAGGAGAGUAGAAUUCCACGUGUAGCGGUGAAAUGCGUAGAUAUGUGGAGGAAUACCAGUGGCGAAGGCGGCUCUCUGGUCUGUAACUGACGCUGAGGCGCGAAAGCGUGGGGAGCAAAC
rnacentral:rRNA from 1 species